rnacentral:lncRNA from 1 species
UUCGAUCAAGAAAUGUAUGGGCAACAAAUAUUCUAGAAAGAAAGUUGAAAUGAAGGAGGUGCAGUGUUAGAACUAUCAAGGAUUUGGUCACUAUGCUCAAGAAUGUCGAAGAAAAAAGGAAACACGAGCAAAAGAUAGUGAUGAAGUGAAGUAUGUACAUGUUGAAGAUGGUGAUUUUGAUGAUGUUCUACUUAUGAUAAAU